AACUAAUUGGCCCAAUUCUUCUCUUCUUCUCCUUUAAUCUGGCCCAGCUUAAUUAAUUCCAGGCCCAAGUGAUGAAUAGUGGAAAAGGCCCAAAUACCCCCUUCACCAACCAUCGUCACUAUCUCUCUCUCAUUUCUCAAAAAUCCCCAAAUUGAAAAUGAGGAACCCUAGCCCCCUUUCUCUCCUUCCUCUCGGCGAUUUCGCACCCCGCCACCUUCAGCGCUCCUCGCCGGCGUGUGAGGAACCGGAGUCAGCCCAUUUCUAUUCCGUUCCUCUCCGCAUCGCACGACCGCUCCCACCCUCUGUCUCCUACUCGGCAAGAAGGGGUCUAAAAUUCGGAAACCUGGGGAGGUGGAGGACUCGUCGCUGUCUAACCGGCGACCCACUACCCACCAUCUCUUCCCCCUUUGAGGCAUAACCUUGUACGGGCAAUCUUGACGACGUUUCGUUCGCGGAGGGGUCACCCGUGGAGGGAAGACGUCGUAUUCUCCGUCCUUCAGCGGCAUCCCUCGGUCCACGCUGCCGUCGCCUCCAUCUUCCUCCCUUCGGCGACGCUGGACCCCUCGGCUUAGGGGUGACACGCAGACGGCGGUUCUGCCGCUGCGGAGACCCUCGUAGCAGUGCGCCGUUUAAUCAGGCAGUCGCCUCGCCGAAGCUAAGUUCCUACUAGUUAUCUUCUUUCUCUUGUCAUAGUCUAGUCCUAGUUCGCGUUUGAAAAGCAAUGUGGUUGUGCUUCUAUGUGACUGAUUCUGUGUGGAAGACACCAUUCCAUGGUUCCUUUCCUCCAGUCUCAAAAGUGCUACACUACCCUAGACAUGCAUCCUAAUGAGGCUGGGGUAUGUGCAAGGGAGGUUUACUGAUUUCUCAGAUUCUCAUGUUAUCAUAAAUCGUUUCCAUGUUUUGUUUCUAUCAUGCUCGAAUGAUGCCAUUAAACUUGAGAUUUAAGCUGAUGGGUGUUACCUUUCCCUUGUAACCCCGCUGAACUUGCUAAGCUACUCCCUUCCUUGGUCUUGACCUCUCUUGCUCCUCCGCUUGCUGCUCCGUUUAGUAACUAGUUUGUUGUGUGGUGGGGGAUGGAACUGAGGAGGAGAUUGGCAUAUUUAUGCACAGCUUGUAACUGAAAGCUGCACAAUGACUGAGGUGCACACUAGAGGUGGCACUGUGGGGGCUGAUUUCCGGACUAUAACCGGUUUGGGUAGGGAAAGCAAGGGCUGUUAUCUGCAGCUUUGCAGAGUAUUAGCUGGAGGGGAGCCUGCUGGCUGGAGUUUGCUUCUUUCGGUCCAACACUCACUCACAUUUCUGCAAGAUCACGGAGUUGCCGAGCUUGGUGCCGAACUGCCGAGCUUGGUGGCGAACUGCCGAGCUCGGUGCCGAACUGCCGUGCUUGGUGGCGAACUGCCGAACUCGGUGCCGAACUGCCGUGCUUGGUGGCUGCUCGUUUGGCUGGUGUGAGCCGUGGAGUGCAGGGAUAAAGCAACCUCUUACCUUUCUUUUUUUUUCGGGACAAGAGGCUGACUCUUCUCGGUUGCUGUCUCGUCUGUUCAGCCCAACGGGCCAUCGGAAACUGGGCCGAAACCAUGCUAGAAGAAGGGCCCGAAGCUAGUAGUUUCAUUUGUAAAGAGAUAGGGUUUCUAUUUGAAAUUCUCUCUUUUUCUUAACAUGUAAAAGUUUAUUGGUGUUUUGAUCUUUCUCUCCAGAUCACGGAGUUGCCGAGCUUGGUGCCGAACUGCCGUGCUUGGUGGCGAACUGCCGAACUCGGUGCCGAACUGCCGUGCUUGGUGGCUGCUCGUUUGGCUGGUGUGAGCCGUGGAGUGCAGGGAUAAAGCAACCUCUUACCUUUCUUUUUUUUUCGGGACAAGAGGCUGACUCUUCUCGGUUGCUGUCUCGUCUGUUCAGCCCAACGGGCCAUCGGAAACUGGGCCGAAACCAUGCUAGAAGAAGGGCCCGAAGCUAGUAGUUUCAUUUGUAAAGAGAUAGGGUUUCUAUUUGAAAUUCUCUCUUUUUCUUAACAUGUAAAAGUUUAUUGGUGUGUAUUUAAUUCCAAACACUUGAAAUUUGGUGGCUUUGAAAUUUCUGAAGUUGUACUUGUACCCUUAUUCAAGAAAUAAAAAUACUCUUUCAUUCGUCAA